CCUACGGGAGGCAGCAGUGGGGGAUAUUGCACAAUGGGGGGAACCCUGAUGCAGCGACGCCGCGUGGGUGAAGAAGCGCCUCGGCGCGUAAAGCUCUGUUAGCAGGGAAGAAAAUGACGGUACCUGAAGAAGAUGCCCCGGCUAAUGACGUGCCAGCAGCCGCGGUACUACGUAGGGGGCAAGCGUUAUCCGGAUGUACUGGGUGUAAAGGGGGCGCAGACGGGGUUGCAAGCCAGAGGUGAAAGCCCGGGGCUCAACCCCGGGAGUGCUCUGGGAACUGCGUGGCUGGAGUGCAGGAGGGGCAGGCGGAAUGCCUGGUGUAGCGGUGAAAUGCGUAGAUAUGAGGAGGAACACCGGUGGCGAAGGCGGCCUGCUGGACUGGAACUGACGUUGAGGCCCGAAAGCGUGGGGAGCAAACAGGAUUAGAUACCCCGGUAGUC
rnacentral:rRNA from 1 species